rnacentral:rRNA from 1 species
GACGAACGCUGGCGGCGUGCUUAACACAUGCAAGUCGAACGGAAAGGCCCUGCUUUUGUGGGGUGCUCGAGCGGCGAACGGGUGAGUAACACGUGAGUAACCUGCCCUUGACUUUGGGAUAACUUUAGGAAACUGGGGCUAAUACCGGAUAGGAGCUCCUGCUGCAUGGUGGGGGUUGGAAAGUUUCGGCGGUUGGGGAUGGACUCGCGGCUUAUCAGCUUGUUGGUGGGGUAGUGGCUUACCAAGGCUUUGACGGGUAGCCGGCCUGAGAGGGUGACCGGCCACAUUGGGACUGAGAUACGGCCCAGACUCCUACGGGAGGCAGCAGUGGGGAAUAUUGCACAAUGGGCGGAAGCCUGAUGCAGCAACGCCGCGUGCGGGAUGACGGCCUUCGGGUUGUAAACCGCUUUCGCCUGUGACGAAGCGUGAGUGACGGUAAUGGGUAAAGAAGCACCGGCUAACUACGUG